GAUGAACGCUGGCGGCGUGCCUAAUACAUGCAAGUCGAGCGAACGGACGAGAAGCUUGCUUCUCUGAUGUUAGCGGCGGACGGGUGAGUAACACGUGGAUAACCUACCUAUAAGACUGGGAUAACUUCGGGAAACCGGAGCUAAUACCGGAUAAUAUUUUGAACCGCAUGGUUCAAAAGUGAAAGACGGUCUUGCUGUCACUUAUAGAUGGAUCCGCGCUGCAUUAGCUAGUUGGUAAGGUAACGGCUUACCAAGGCAACGAUGCAUAGCCGACCUGAGAGGGUGAUCGUCCACACUGGAACUGAGACACGGUCCAGACUCCUACGGGAGGCAGCAGUAGGGAAUCUUCCGCAUGGGCGAAAGCCUGACGGAGCAACGCCGCGUGAGUGAUGAAGGUCUUCGGAUCGUAAACUCUGUUACUAGGGAAGAACAUAUGUGUAAGUAACUGUGCACAUCUUGACGGUACCUAAUCAGAAAGCCACGGCUAACUACGUG
rnacentral:rRNA from 1 species